GACGAACGCUGGCGGCGCGCCUAACACAUGCAAGUCGAACGAGCGAGAGAGAGCUUGCUUUCUCGAGCGAGUGGCGAACGGGUGAGUAACGCGUGAGGAACCUGCCUCAAAGAGGGGGACAACAGUUGGAAACGACUGCUAAUACCGCAUAAGCCCACGGCUCGGCAUCGAGCAGGGGGAAAAGGAGCAAUCCGCUUUGAGAUGGCCUCGCGUCCGAUUAGCUAGUUGGUGAGGUAACGGCCCACCAAGGCGACGAUCGGUAGCCGGACUGAGAGGUUGAACGGCCACAUUGGGACUGAGACACGGCCCAGACUCCUACGGGAGGCAGCAGUGGGGAAUAUUGCACAAUGGGGGAAACCCUGAUGCAGCGACGCCGCGUGGAGGAAGAAGGUCUUCGGAUUGUAAACUCCUGUUGUAGGGGAAGAUAAUGACGGUACCCAACAAGGAAGUGACGGCUAACUACGUG
rnacentral:rRNA from 1 species